AAGUGAAGCAGCUGGAAGUUCAGUUUGGAAAAAGUUGACAUCCAUGUACGACGAGCUGCUGUCCUCUGUGCUCUGUCCACCUAUCUGCUUGAGGAUGACUCCAGCUUUCUCAAGAUGUGGGAUAACACCAAAUAAUUGCUGCAAUUCUAAGAUAUAUUCAAAACCUGGAACUACAACCUGAAUGACUAUAUAUGGAACGAUCUUCCCACCCCUAUCCGGAAUGCUGAAUCCCUGACAAUUUUCAAGCGACAGCUGAAAACUCAUCUCUUUCGAAGCUACUUGAC
rnacentral:lncRNA from 1 species